AGCUCCAAUAGCGUAUACUAAUGUUGUUGCAGUUAAAAAGCUCGUAGUCGGAUUUCAGUUUGUUUAUGCAUGAGCCAUGUGCUCUUUGCGUCGACUUACUUCAUGACAGAAACAUUCAUGCUCUUUAUUGGGUGUGUUUACUUACUGUCUCUUUUACUUUGAGAAAAUUAGAGUGUUCAAAGCAGGUAUUUGCCUGAAUAUUACUCUUGGAAUAAUAAUAUAGGACUUCAGUCUUAGUUUGUUGGUGAACCGGGACCGGAGUAAUGAUUGAUAGGGACAGUUGGGGUCAUUCAUACUGCAAAGCGAGAGGUGAAAUUCUUGGACCUUUGUAUGAUGAACAACUGCGAAAGCAUUUGACUAGGAUGUUCCCG
rnacentral:rRNA from 1 species